AUGGCGCUCCCGCAAUCCCUUUCGCCUUCCAGAGCCUCGUAAAGUCUGAGGAGUCUUUGACCCUUGAAGCCCUUGGUGUUUCAGAGAAAUUGGGUUGAUUUAUGCGGAGGUAUAGUAACGGUUGGGAGUGCAGCUUACUUGGGGUAGCUCUGCAAAUGAACACGGUCAAACAGGUUUGCGUCCCUUGAUCCCUGAGCAAUGGCCCUCCCCCUAGAGCUCGUGCAUCUUUCCUCCCAAGUCUUGUUACCAGAACGGGAGAGGGUCCUGAGGUCUGAAAGAUGACAUCAUAUGGGCGAGAGGGAGGUGAAGAUGCAUGAACGUGCCCGUUGAAUGGAACUAACGCCCUCAUCCAGGUGGAGGCUGCUGACUUCAGGCUGAGCAGAAGCAUAUGGACCCCAGACUGGCUGGAACCAGAAGGCUGAUGACUGAGACUCCUGGAGCACUGCCCUGUUACCUCAUCACUAACCAAUCAGAAAAGAGAUGCUUCAUAGAGGAAAUGCCCUUUCUACAGUAACAGAAAGAACAGGAAUGGAGACUUCUAUCCACAAUGGACUAGAGAGAAAGGAAGCACUUCCUUGCCAUGCUGGCCACAGCCUUCCUGAUUGCAUCCUCCAAGUCGAUGCCAGAAGUAACAAAGAAUUGGAUGUUGCUGAGUAUGUUCCAGGACUCCUGGACAUUGAUUCCUUCAAGCCUGACCACCAGAAACAUAAAUUCUCGUUUUCGGCAGUCUUUAAUAACGUUAUCAGCAAUAAUAGAAAAUUUCAUUUUUACGACAAAAACUUUGCUGAAGAUGGCUUCAACCUUAGGAUCAGCAAUAAGCAAUUAAAAUAUUUAAUACACUUGAGCUUCCCUAACACCACUGAGAUUGAAGAAGUUGGCUGGGCUUUGACCACGAAGAGAAAUGAUGUCAGAGCCAUGUCUAGUCCAGCACCAUUCACAAAGCAAGUGGCAUUCCCAUCAAGUUUUAUGUAUUUUAGGUCAUAUUUGGUGAUUUAAUUUUUAGUAUAUGCAAUUUUUAUUUGUUGUCUAUAACAAAUAUAACUUUUUGUAUAUAUCUUGAAUUGUCCUCAAAGUUUAUCUUGGCAUGAAAACAGACACCUUGUCCUUCUGGAGUUUCACCAAAGGAUGUCACUUCAACCUAAGUUGGAUAAGUUUCUAGGAAGAAAUUAUGUAAUUUCUUAAUUUGAUUCAUAGCCUGAUUUUCUUAGACCCCUGUAAAUCUAAGUUUUCUCCUGUCAACUAAACUUGACUGUUCUUCAAAAAUGUGAAUUUUCUCCUUUUAAAAAUAUAUUCUAGUAUAGGUGUUCCCAUCAUGGCGCAGUAGAAACGAAUCUGACUAGGAACCAUGAGGUUGCAGGUUCCACCCCCGGCCUUGCCCAGUGGGUCAAGGAUCCAGCGUUGCUGUUAGUUGUGGUGUAGUUUGCUGAUGUGGCUUUGAUCUCACGUUGUUAUGGCUGGGGUGUAGGCCAGCAGCUGUAGCUCUGAUUCGACCCCUAGCCUGGGAACCUCCAUAUGCCAUGGGUAUGGCACUAAACAAACAAAUACACACACACACAUACAUAUGUGUAUGUAUGUGUGUGUGUGUGUGUGUGUACAUAUAUAUAUAUAUUCUAGUAUAGAAGUUGCCAGUGAUUAAAUGUCAAUGUCCCUGCUUGAGGCUGUCAAUCAGUAAUGGCCAUUACAGGAUGGGUCCAUUAAAAUUUCCAAAUAGGAGCAUCAUACACAGUAUCAGUCACAACAUAUUUGAACUGUUACUUUGUUUUCUGACGUUAUUUUCUUGUUCUUGGAUUCCUGCAGGGUCAGCCAUCUUUUAGAGAUGAAUUAAACUUUCUUGGACUUGGCUGACAAGAGUGAGAGCCUGAGCACCAGGACUCACCAAUGUUUUUGGCCUUCACUGUCAUGCGGGAAUGACAUCUUAAACAAAAAUCAAGCACAGAGGAGCCUGACUGGGUGAUUGAGAUGAGGGGAAAAGGAAGCUUGGCAGAGAUUUAAUUCUUUAUUGGAAACAAACCCAAAUAUCCAUAUAUUCAUAUUGUAUGUGUGUGUGUAUGAAUGUACACACGUUUGUGGCUGUCUUUGUUUUUUGGCAUUUUUUUUCGUGUAGCUGAUUUCUACUCUCAUAGCAUUAUAGUUAGAAAAGAAGCCUGAUAUGAUCUCGGUUUUCUUAAAUUUUACUGAGACUCAUUUCAUGUGAUACAUCCUGGAGAAUGUUCCAUGUGCACUUGAAAAGAAUGUAUAUUCUACUGCUUUUGGAUGGACUGUUUUCUCUCUGUAUAUAUCUAUUAAGUCCAUCUUAUCUAAUGUAUCUUUUAAGGCAAGUGUUUCCUUAUUGAUUUUUCUGUCUGGAUGAUCUGUCCCUUGAUAUAAGUGGGGUGUUAAAGUCCCCUACUCUUACUGUGUUACUGUCAAUUUCUCCCUUUAUAUCUGAUUGUAUUUGCUUUAUGUAUCUAGGUGUUCUUAUAUUGGGUACAAAUAUAUUUGCAAUUGUUAUAUCUUUAGGUUGGAUUGAUCCUUUGAUCACUAUAUAAUAUCUUUCUUUGUCUUUUAUUAUAGUCCUUGUUUUAAAAUCUAUUCUGUUUAAUAUAAGUAUUGUCACUCCAUAUUUCUUUUGAUUUCUAUUUGCUUGGAAUAAUUUUUUCCAUUCCCUUACUUUCAGUCUAUGUGUGUAUUUAGAUCUUAAAAGAGUCUCUUACAGGUAGCAAAUAUCUAUGUUUGUUUUUGUAUUCAUUCAGCCAUUUGAUGUCUUUCAAUUGGGAGUAUUCUAUUUACAUUUAAAGUAAUUUUUUUUUUUUUUUUUUUUUUUUGCUUUUUAGGGCUGCAUCCAAGGCAUGUGGAAGUUCCUAGGCUAGGGGUUGAAUUGGAGCCAUAGCUGGCAGACUACAUUACAGUCACAGUAGUGGGGAUCUGAGCCACAUCUGUGACCUACACCACAGCUCAUGCGACACCAGAUCCUUAACCCACUGGGCAAUGCCAGGGAUCAAACCCAUAUCCUCAUGGUUCCUAGUCAGGUUCGUUAAUCACUGAGCCACAAAGGGAACUCCCUAAAGUAAUUAUUGAUAAAGAGUUCCCUGGGGUUCAGUGGGUUAAGGAUCAAGCAUUGUCACUGCUGUGGCUUGGGUUGCUCCUAUGGUGUGGGUUUGAUCCCUGGCCCCAGAACUUCUGCAUGCCAAGGACAUGGCAAACAGACAAACAAACAAACAAACAAACAUUGAUAGGUAUGUACUUACUGCCAUCUUGUUCAUUGUUUCAAGGUUAUUUUUGCAGUUGUUUUGUUUUGUUCCUUUUUUUUUUUUAUUCUUUUCCCUUGUGAUUUGAUGAUUAUUUUUAGUGUUUGGUGCUUGGAUUCCUUUCUCUUUUUUUCUGUCUAUAUCUAUUGUAGAUUUUUGAUUUGUGGUUACUCUGAGGUUAAUAUGUAGCAAUCUAAAUAUACAAUGAUUAUUUUAGGUUGCAGAUCUCUUAAUUUAAAACACAUUUUAGCAACCCAGCAUUUUUACUCCUCCCCACCACAUUUACUGUUUUUGACAUCAUAUUUUGCACCUUUUUAUUUUGUGUAUCCCUUAACUACUUAUUCCACACAUUGACGAUUUUACCAUUUAUGUCUUUUAACCUUCCUUCUAGCUUUAUAUUUGGUUUAUUUGCUAACUUUACUAUAUAUUUGUCUUUACUAAUGAGCUUUGUCCUUUCACAGUUUUCAUGUUUGUAGUCAUGGCCUUUUUUUUUUUCCAUUGGGAGAAGUCCCUUUAACAUUCCUUGUAAAGCUGGUUUCAUUGUGCUGGACUCUUUUAGCUUUUGCUUAUCUGUAAAAUUUUUUAUCUCUUCAUCAAAUGCGAGUGAAAGCCUUGCUGUGUAGAGUGUUCUUGGUUGUAAGUCUUCCCCUUUCAUCACUUUAAAUAUAUCCUGUCACUCUCUUCUGGCCUGUGGAGUUUCUGCUGAGAAGUCAGCUCAUAGCCUUAUGGGCAUUCCGUUAUUUAUAAUUUGUUGCUAUUCUCUUGCUGCUUUUAACAUUCCCUAUUUUUAAUUUUUGAUGUUUUGCCAAUUACAAUGUAUCUUGGUGUACUCCUCCUGGUGUUGAUCCUGCUUGAGACCCUCUGUGCUUCCUGCACCUGGAUGUUUGUCUCCUUUCCCAGGUUAGGAAAUUUUUCAGCUCUUAUGUCUUCAAAUAUGUUCUCUGCUCCUUUUCUCUCUCUCUCUUCUGCUUCUAGGACCCAUAUAAUGCAAAUGUUAGUACACUUGAUAUUGUCUCAGAGGUCUCUUAGACUGUCUUCAUCUUUUUUAUCCUUUUUUCUUUUUUCUGUUCAGCUUCAGUGAUUUUCACUACUGUCUUUCACUUCACUGACUUGUUCCUCUGUAUCAUUUAAUCUACUGGUGAUUCCUUCUAGUGUGUUUUUCAUUUCAGUUAUUGUAUUUUUAAUCUCUGUCUAGUUCUGCUAUAUAUUUUCCAAUUCCUUGUUACAAACUCUUACUCUGUUUAUCCAUUCUUCUCCCAAGUUCUUUGAUCAUUUUUAUGAUCAUUAUCUUGAAGUCUUUUUUUGUUUGUUUGUUUGUUUUGGGGCCUCCAUUAUAAAGUGAUGAAGAAGACUCAGAGAGGUUUUUUUUUUUUUUUUUUUUUUUUUGUCUUUUUGCCUUUUCUAGGGCCGCUCCUGCAGCACAUGGAGGUUCCCAGGCUAGGGGUUGAAUCCAAGCUAUAGCCGCCAGCCAACGCCGGAGCCACAGCAACACAAGAUCCGAGCCGCAUCUUGCAACCUACACCACAGCUCAUGGCAACGCCGGAUCUUUAACCCACUGAGCAAGGCCAGGGACCGAACCUGCAACCUCAUGGUUCCUAGGCGGAUUCGUUAACCACUGAGCCAUGAUGGGAACUCCACCUUGAACUCUUUAUCAGGCAGAUUACCUAAUCUUCACUUUGCUCAUUUCUUCUUCUGGGGUUCUAUCUUGUUCCUUCAUUUGGAACAUGUUUCUCUGUUGCCUUAUUUUACUUUAUUUGCUGUUUUUAUCUCUACGUAUUUGGUGGGUUGGUUACAUUUCCUGACCUUGGAGAAAUGGUAGUUGUUCUAUCUGGAUACGAAUUCUUCAAGAUCAUGGACAGUGUUUCAUCAAUCUUUGUAUCCCCAAUAUCUAAGAUGGUGCAUUAUGUAUACUAGGUGCUCAAUAAAUGAUUAUUAAAUGAA